rnacentral:lncRNA from 12 species
AAAUACCUAGUAGAGUGAUUGCUAUAUGGUAGGGUCAUUGGGCAGGUUUUAAUUUUUUUUUUAAGAUUUAUUUAUUUAUUCAGAGAGAGAGAGAGGCAGAGACACAGGCAGAGGGAGAAGCAGGCUCCAUGCAGGAAGCCCGAUGUGGGAUUCGAUCCCGGGUCUCCAGGAUCACACCCCAGGCUGCAGGCGGCACCAACCCGCUGCGCCACUGGGGCUGAUUGGGCAGGCUUUAUAGGCCGGGACCAGGAGGCGUUUUGGGGCAUAUUUAUUUUCUCGUUUGAUUUUCACAUGUUAUUAAUCUCCUGUGAGGGAUGUUCAAUUAGCUCCACACGUGGAAACCAGGACGCAGAGAGGCCCCCCACCGCGAACACAGAAACUGAGCUGCCCUGAGCUGAGCGGGGACUCCUCACAUCUGUUUGCGCCCCGGGCAGCUGGGGGACGCCCCCCCGCACCCCGAGGCGGUGAGGAACAAGCACCCAGCGCCGGCGGCCCCCAGGAUGACGCCCCAGGGUUAGCGCCCGGGGGAGGCGCCCAUGCUGCGCCCAGGAGCAGACGGGGCGCCGAGGCCUGCCGCCCCCCGCCCAUGGGCGCCGCGGGAGAGCGCAGGGGUCCCCGGAGCGCUGCAGGCCCGCGGCUGGAUUGGAGACGGUGCCCGCUGAGCCUGUGCCAGGAGCCGCGCUAGGCCCGAGCCAUGCCCGCCGUCGGGGGGACCUCGGAGGCCGCCCCAAGGGGCGGAGGGAAGGCCUGAGCGCACCCGCGAUGUGACGCGGCCCGCGUGGGGACCCGCAGACCCCGGGCGCCGAGUCGGAGUCGGGCGGGGAUGCACAGCGCCUUCUGCGGCGCGCUGGUGGAGCGGCGCCCCCGGGCGCCCCCGAGCCGCGCGCCCCCGCCCGCAGAGCCCCCCGCGCGCCGCGCGCCCCCGCCCGCCGAGCCCCUGGGCCGCGUGCCCCUGCUGCUGUGCCCGGGCGCCGAGCCGCGCUGCUACGAGGCCUACGAGGCCUAC